rnacentral:rRNA from 1 species
GACGAACGCUGGCGGCGUGCUUAACACAUGCAAGUCGAACGAAGUGGCGAACGGGUGAGUAACGCGUAAUCAACCUGCCCUUCAGAGGGGGAUAACAGUUGGAAACGACUGCUAAUCCCGCAUACUGAAGGAGGAGAUUGCGUCGGAGUAGCUAGUUGGAGGGGUAACGGCCCACCAAGGCGAUGAUCAGUAGCCGGGCGGAGGGGGUGAACGGCCAAAGUGGGAAUGGUACAAGGCCCAGAAUCCUACGGGAGGGAGGAGUGGGGAAUCUUCCGAAAUGGAGGAAAGUCUGACGGAGCGACGCCGCGUGAGUGAUGACGGCCUUCGGGUUGUAAAGCUCUGUUAAUCGGGACGCGGUACCGGAAUAGAAAGCCACGGCUAACUACGUGCCAGCAGCCGCGGUAAUUC